rnacentral:rRNA from 1 species
AGGUUCGAUUCUGGCUCAGGAUGAACGCUAGCUACAGGCUAACACAUGCAAGUCGAGGGGCAGCAUGUGGUUGCUUGCAACCAAUGAUGGCGACCGGCGCACGGGUGAGUAACGCGUAUCCAACCUUCCCUAUAGUAGAGGAUAGCCCGGCGAAAGUCGGAUUAAUACUCUAUGUUUUCCAAUGCAGACAUCUAAAAUGGAACAAAGGUUCACCGCUAUAGGAUGGGGGAUGCGUCUGAUUAGAUAGUCGGCGGGUAACGGCCCACCGAGUCGACGAUCAGUAGGGGUUCUGAGAGGAAGGUCCCCCACAUUGGAACUGAGACACGGUCCAAACUCCUACGGGAGGCAGCAGUGAGGAAUAUUGGUCAAUGGGCGAGAGCCUGAACCAGCCAAGUAGCCGUGCAGGAAGACGGCCCUAUGGGUUGUAAACUGCUUUUAUACAGGGAUAAAGUGACGUACGUGUACGUUAUUGUAGGUACUGUAUGAAUAAGGACCGGCUAAUUCCGUGCCAGCAGCGGC